CUCCCAUCCUUAUCAGCCGAAAACAGUCCUUAUCUUCCCAGCAAGAUAUUUUCUUCUUCAUUCUUGAAGCUUCCAAUGCCAUUCUCUCAUUCUCCCAUGGAAAGCUAAUUUUCUUUCAUUUUCUUUCCUUGUUUUCUUUUCAUUUCUUUUCUCUUCUUGCUUCAUUCUUCUCCCAACUUCUUGUGCACCAAAGUUACAACUUCUAAACCCAAUUUCCAGCACAUAUAAACUCUAGGAGAAGAAGAAAGAAAAAGAGAGAAAGGAAGAAAAAGCUUGGUUUUGGUGAUUCAAGCAAGGAACGGAAGUGCAAAGAUAAGGUUAAAGUACUAUGGUGGCAUGUCGGAGUAAACAAUGAGCGACCGGUCAGUAAAAUAAUCAGAGACAGCUCUAAUCAAAUAGCGAUGUAAUAUCCUGCUAUCGUAAGUGCGCAUACCGAUUGAAUGACAAUGUCGUGAUAAUUACAACCGUGCAUGUGCGGAGUGGGCAGUGCACAUGCCGGUAAUGAUGCACAUGAGUUAGGUGAGAUGGUGUGUCCGGCUAUGUACACGAUGUGGGGGAUGCACAUGAGCCAGGUGAGGUGAUGGUGGUGCAUGUGCUUAUAUAUAUAUUGUCACGACCUGGUACUCCAUUCGAGCUUGUGACAACAGCUGUGACGUCCCGAUGGACAUUCAUUGUCCGAAAUUCCAACCGGAACCUCGCAAGGCUUUAAUAUCAAUUUUCGCACCUCCCU